GCACCAGUGGCGGAAUAGGCAGACGCGUACGCUUGAGGGGCGUAUGAAGCAAUUCGUGUGGGUUCAAGUCCCACUUGGUGCACCA
rnacentral:tRNA from 2 species